rnacentral:rRNA from 1 species
UACGAAGGGGGCUAGCGUUGUUCGGAAUUACUGGGCGUAAAGCGCACGUAGGCGGAUUGUUAAGUCAGAGGUGAAAUCCCGGAGCUCAACUUCGGAACUGCCUUUGAUACUGGCAAUCUAGGGUCCGGAAGAGGUUAGUGGAAUUCCCAGUGUAGAGGUGAAAUUCGUAGAUAUUGGGAAGAACACCAGUGGCGAAGGCGGCUAACUGGUCCGGUACUGACGCUGAGGUGCGAAAGCGUGGGGAGCAAACAGG